GACGAACGCUGGCGGCGUGCUUAACACAUGCAAGUCGAGGGGUAGAAGUAGCAAUACUUUGAGACCGGCGCACGGGUGAGUAACGCGUAUGCAACCUACCUAUAACUGGAACAUAGCCCGGCGAAAGUCGGGUUAAUUUUCCAUAGCAUUAUUUAAUGGCAUCAUUAGAUAAUUAAAGCUCCGGCGGUUAUAGAUGGGCAUGCGUGUCAUUAGCUAGUUGGUGAGGUAAUGGCUCACCAAGGCUACGAUGACUAGGGGUUCUGAGAGGAUGAUCCCCCACACUGGUACUGAGACACGGACCAGACUCCUACGGGAGGCAGCAGUGAGGAAUAUUGGUCAAUGGACGCAAGUCUGAACCAGCCAUGCCGCGUGAAGGAUGAAGGCCCUAUGGGUUGUAAACUUCUUUUAACAGGGACGAAAUGUAGUUACGUGUAAUUACUUGACGGUACCUGAGGAAUAAGCAACGGCUAACUCCGUGCCAGCCGCCGCGGUAAUAC
rnacentral:rRNA from 1 species